GCCUUCGUGGUGUAGUGGUCAGCACGCUCGACGCGUAACCGAGAGAUCCGUGGUUCGAUUCCCGGCAAAGGCG
rfam:Stegodyphus mimosarum contig58549, whole genome shotgun sequence.